ACUUGAGGGCGAAUUAGGCCCCCGUUCAGUGGAACACGGAGGCCGUGCGUCAGUCCGCUGAGGCCGCUGGGGAUAUCAAUGAGAACGCUUACUGGAACGGUGUUGCUGCUUCCCAGAACGUGGUCGCCGCCGCCCAAUCGCAAGCCGCCGCUCUCAGCGGAGUAGCCGCCGGCCGCGCUGGCCUCCUCGGCGCUCACAUCGCCCCCAUUGCCCCCAUCGCCCCCUACGGAGCGUGGGGCGCGCCCCUCA
rnacentral:misc_RNA from 1 species